GUUAUCCCUGGACUGUCUGGGCAGGGGCUGUAAAAUUGGAACAGGUCCCCCCUGCAAUCCCUCAUGUGGUGGCAGAGACCCCUGAGGGGAUGUGCAGAGGGCCUUGGUUCUCGGCUGGGCUGUUGAGCUGGGCACUCAGGGAGUUUCGCAUAGCCACGAAGCUACUCUCUCAGGCUCCUCUGGCAGGGAGCGUCAGGAUGAGAAUCCAGACCUGACUGCCACCCAGCCCUCUCACUUUGCAGAUGCAAAAAUCCAGACUCAGAAAGGGAAGUAACUUCUCCAACAGGGCGGGGUCUGAAGCCCAGGGUCCCGACCCCACCAAGCUGGCCCUGCAGGAGCCUCCUGAGAGGUGUCUCGGGAGCAGACCCAGGGGAAGGGGGCACUGUGCACCCUUGCUAGGUAGGCAAAAGUCUGUCUGCUUCUUGGCAGCUGUGUGGCUUCAAAGCCCGGACAGCAGGGACUGAAGACUGAGCAAGCCACCCCUCUCCUGUCCCAGACCCACCUGAACCCACCAAAGCUGGGAAAGGAGGGGUUGUGGAGACUCCAGAAAAACAGGAAAAAUUUAAACACAACCACUAAGUAAAGCAUCAUUAACUCCUGUUGUGCUGAGCCCACAAACCGCCCCAGCACUCACUGUUCUACUGUCUGUCGCUGUGCAUUUGACAACUCUAGGGACCUCAUCAUAUAAUCACGAAUGGAGUCUCUAUGAGGGCAGGGAUGUUGGUUGGCUGUAUCCUCGGGCUGGAAGAGCACCGGCACGCAGCAGGCACUGAAUAGAAUUUCUAAAUAUACAAACGGAUGAACCAAUGGAUGGAUGGAUGAAUGAAGACCCUGUAUAGGUCAGUGCCUCAAAUGUCUGUGCCUGGCCUGGAGUUAUGUCCCUCACCCCCACUGUAGACUAACUCCUGGUCCCACCCUACAGCUUUGGAACUGAAGCCCCAGGCCUACCAUCCCUGAGAGGUAGUGGUGCUCAGCGUGGCAGGAUGCCCCACUUGAUGGUAGGCUUCUCCCAGAUGGCUAAUUGCUUCGAGUCUUUCCCCCAGAUGUAACAUGUCUAUGGGAGGAUUAUGACAUGGGCAGAUGAGAGUCCCCAGCCAUGGAGGUGACAAUGGGCCCUGGAGCCUCACAGGGCAGCAGCCACCAGGAAGAGGCAUGGAGGCCAGGAAGGUCCUGGAACACCAGAAUUCGGCCAACAGAGCCUGAAGCCAGCACGUCGUGGAGGGGCAGCAGCCUGGGGGCAUUCAGGAGACCUGGAGAUGUGGCAGCUGGCCAGGAGCUGGGCUACAACCUUGACAAUCACUAACCUCUCAUCUCCUCGUCCUGCCAGGCUAUUUAUAGCCUCCCUCUCUCUGAAAACUCCUUCACCCAUUUUUCUGAGCUUAACAAGCUUGGUGAAUUGAAAUCAGGUGGACCAUCUCCCCAACCUCAGCAAGCCUGCUGGGGUGACUGCACUCAGGCCAGGCCUGCUGGCAGCUCCUGCUCCAUGACAGGGACCCUUGAGGGCCUGCUGAGAGUCACAGGUUGGGGUGUCCCCAGGAAGGUGGCAUCUAAAGAGAGGGCAGCAACUGGGCACGCAGGCAGAUCUCAGCCAGAGAUGCUGGACAAUGGUGACCCCAGAAGGGCUCAGCUCACCCCAGGCCUCCUCCCUGCUUCAGGAAAAACAAACAGAUUGGGACAGUGGAAAAACAGCUGUACCUUUAAAUUAUCUGGCCCACAGAUAUGAAAAACAUUUGCAUGCUGAAGCUGUUUGCAUCUUCGGUUAUUUUUAGGGUGAACCCAGUUGCCUCCCCUUGGAACCGGAUGAAGCCCCAGAGGCACGUAGUCCUUUUUCCCAGACGGGGGUCCUGGUCCUGUUUCCCUGGGAAUAAGGCUUGAGCAUGAGCUCUCUGGGACCCAGACCCCGACCAGAACCACACAGUGCAUUCAGGCUCGGGAGGAACUGGAGCACCAGGGAGCCAAGGCUGCAACUUUGAACAUUUGCCACUGCUGACAUUAUGGUCACCCACCUGGGGCCAGAAAGAGCCCCUCCGCUGCCCCCAGAGCAUGGGUGAAGAGACGAACGCUUAGCCUACUGCCUCCUCUCAUGCCAGGCCCAGCUGAUGGGAAUAUUUUGCUGAGAUAUUUCUAGAGCCAGCAGCAAUUAAAGCAGAUUUUCUCUUCCACGCUUCUUCCCCAAAACAAGAAUAAAUCAGUCCUACCAAUUUCCCAGCUAAUGAUUUCCUCCAUUAAAUUAAAAAGAAGAAGAAAAUGUUUUCUUAAAUGGAUUACCAGCCCUGUGCUUUCAGAGACCAUGUGACCUGUCAACUCCUUUUAAAGUCUGAUGCAUCAAAGUCCCUGAAUUAAUUUUUUUUUUUUUUUGAGACGGAUUCUCGCUCUGUCGCCCAGACUGGAGUGCAGUGGCGCAGUCUCGGCUCACUGCAAGCUCUGCCUCCCGGGUUCAUGCCAUUCUCCUGCCUCAGCCUCUCCGAGUAGCUGGGACUACAGGCGCCCGCCACCACGCCCGGCUAAUUUUUUUUUUGUAUUUUUAGUAGAGACGGGGUUUCACCAUGGUCUCGAUCUCCUGACCUCAUGAUCCGCCCGCCUCGGCCUCCCAAAGUGCUGGGAUUACAAGCGUGAGCCACCGCGCCCGGCCUAAUUUUUAAUAAAUAAAAAAGUCAUAGUCUAAGAAGCACCAUCCCACACACCCCCCUCCCCCGUCAAGGGUCAGCUCUGAGCUGACUCUGGGAAGCCAGCUUAAUCGGGCCAAGUAUGGCUCUUAAUAGAGAACCAGAUCCAUUCCACAGAUGGGAGAGAUAAGGCUGAGAGAUGUCAGGUGCCCAAGCACAGAAAUCAGGCCCUGAGAUGAACCUAGAGUUGUGGCAUGCACUGUGGAGUCCCACAUGUGGAACUGAGUCCUUGAUUUCGAGGGGUGCCUGUCUGGAGAGAUGCAAACAGGCAGAUCCAGGAGCUGAGGAGUAACUAAGUAGGUGUGAGCUAGCGCCAUCUGCGUGACCCAGAUGGGGGCUCCUGGGCAGGACCUGGGCUUCUCUUCCUCUUUUGCUCCCUGGCAGCACCUGGUAUAGGGUCAGCACACAGUGCUGACAUCUCCUUUGCUUCAAAAAGCGCACCCCCUACAACACAGACAAACCUCAAAAACAUGAUGCUGAGCAGAAGAAGCCAGACACAAAAGGCCACAUAUUACAAGACUCCGUUCCCAUGAAACAUCUAGAAGACGCAAAUCCAUAGAGACAGAGGGUACGGCAGAGGCUACUGGGGGUGAGGAGAAGGGUUGGGAGUUGUUAGUUAAUGGGUGCAGUUUCUGUUUGGGAUGAUAAAAAAAAUUCUGGAAGUGGAUAGGGGUGAUGGUUACACACAUCGUAAAUGUACUUAUGCCAAUGAACUAUACACAUAAAAGUGGUUAACACAGAAAAUUUCAUGUUAUGUAUAUUUUACCACAAUAAAAAAAAUACAAGGAGAAAAAAGCCCACUCUCCAAAAUGCAACUUGAAGAUACAGGAUGGCCAGUAACUCCAUAGGGACGAUGGUGGGACCCUCUGCAAACUGCCCCCAGCCAGACUCAAUGCUUAAAGCACAGCGCAGAGGCUCACAGGGCCUGUCUUGUCAUGUAUGAACACCAGGGACCUUCAGAGAAGGGCUCUUUGUGUGAGCCAGCAUGACUGAGCCAGGAUGCCCUGUCUCCCUGGCGGCCAGCCAGAUGCCACAGGGCAGGCAGGGGCUGAGAAGUCUCUGUGGACACCUCCCUGGAAGGCACCUCCUGGUCUUGGCAUUCGCUGCACCCUCUUCCUGAAAUGCACUUCCCGGAUAUUCUGUAACUUGCUUCCUACGUUUAUUUAGGUUUUCACAGGGAGGUCCUUUCUGACCAUCUACAGUUAGAAAAAUACUGGGAUGGUUGCUGGAGCCAGGCAAGGUAGCUGUGAGCAAGAAGAGGAAAGCCAGGGCCCCAGCACUAUGACAUGCCAGCACCUUCCUGCUCCCUGGCUACAGAAAAGCAGCUUGCAGGGGGCAUCAGGUCCUAGCUCCACCAUUUACCAGCUAGGGGGCCUUGGCUAGUUCCUUCAACCCUCUAAACCUCAGUUUUCUCUUCUACAAAAUGGGGGUGAAGACAAUAUUUGUCUCUUGGGCUUUUCUGAGGACUACAAUGAGAUGAUGUAUAGUAAGUGUUUAGCAUAUGGCUGGGACACGGUCAAAGGUCGGUAAAUGGUAACGAUACAUGGAUUAUAAUGGAAGUACAACAUUAAUCCCUUAAUGCUGGCCAAGAGGUGUGGGUCAGCGAUCCUGAAGGCAGGGGAAGGGGCCAGUAGGGCCAAACCACAACCAUAACUACUCUUCUCAGCAUGUGAAUUAACUGAUUGAAUCCUUUUGUCCCCAUGUUGCAUAUGAGGAAACUGAAGCACAGAGAGGUCAGUGACUUGCCCCAGGACACACAGCCAAGAGGUAGUGGAGCCCAGAUUCAAAUUCUAGUCAUCUGGCUCCAGGCCUGAGCUGGCCACCACUGUACCAUAGGGUAUCUCAAGGGAAGUGUGGAAGGAGGCUCUGAGAAGAGACUCUGGCAUGCAGAGGCAGACCCACAGCCGGCUUGCACAGCUCUGACUUCCGGACGUGAGCCACUGGAAGUCCUAGGGAAAGGUCUCAGAGCAGGUCCCUCAGGGAAGCCCACAGAAUGGUUGGACUGGCCUGGUUCUUCUCAAGGUUCUUCUCAGGCCCAAGACCUUGGUACUCAGUUCUGCUCAGCCCAGCCACUGUGAUUAGCACCCAAGGGUGCAAUUAACUCCUUCAGAACCAAGGCUAGGGCACUAAAGGGAAGGAGUAUCUCCAUGUUCUGGCUUAUGAGGCAUUCCUCAGACCCUCAGAGAGCCUGGAGACAACUAGAGACCCAAAUCCUUCCAGGGACUAGAAAUAGCGGGCCCUGCACACUCAUGGGAGACUCUGUGUACCCUGCUGAAGGGCAAGCUGCUUCCAACUCCUUCUCAAAGGGAAUGAAUUAUGAAUUUCCCUCAAUCCAACUUUCUUUUUUUUUUUUGAGACAGCAUCUCACUCUGUCGCCCAGACUGCUGGAGUGCAGUGGCGCGAUCUCGGCUCACUGGCAAUCUCCACCUCCCAGGCUCAAGCAAUUCUCCUGCCUCAGCCUCCCGGGUAGCUGGGAUUACAGGCGCGUGCCACUACCGCCCAGCUAAUUUUUUUAGUAGAGACAGAGUUUCGCUAUGUUGGCCAGACUCCUGACCUCAA